AAGGAAAAGCUACCUGGUUGAUCCUGCCAGUAG
rnacentral:rRNA from 1 species